rnacentral:sRNA from 12 species
UGCCUAAACCCAGCAGAAAUGCGGGGCAUGGCAUAAAGCCAGUCAAGGGUAGAGAUCCCAUCGUUGGGGAACACCUUGACUGGUCUAUGCCCGAAAGGGUGUAGGGUAGCGAAAGCUAUC